rnacentral:rRNA from 1 species
GAUGAACGCUAGCUACAGGCUUAACACAUGCAAGUCGAGGGGAAACGAUAGAGAAAGCUUGCUUUUUCUAGGCGUCGACCGGCGCACGGGUGAGUAACGCGUAUCCAACCUGCCCAACACUUGGGGAAAACCUUGAGAAAGUAAGACUAAUACCCAAUGAUAUCUCAAGAAGACAUUUGAAUGAGAUUAAAGAUUUAUCGGUGUUGGAGGGGGAUGCGUCUGAUUAGAUUGUUGGCGGGGGAACGGACCACCAAGGCGGCGAUCAGUAGGGGUUCUGAGAAGAAGGUCCCCCACAUUGGAACUGGGACACGGUCCAAGCUCCUACGGGAGGCAGCAGUGAGGAAUAUUGGUCAAUGGGCGAGAGCCUGAACCAGCCAAGUAGCGUGCAGGAUGACGGCCCUAUGGGUUGUAAACUGCUUUUAUAAGGGAAUAAAGUGAGCCUCGUGAGGCAUUUUGCAUGUACCUUAUGAAUAAGGCCCGGCUAAUUCCGUGCCAGCCGCCGCCGUAA